rnacentral:rRNA from 1 species
UACAGAGGGGGCAAGCGUUGUUCGGAAUUACUGGGCGUAAAGGGCGCGUAGGCGGCAAUUCAAGUCAUCUGUGAAAUCUCCGGGCUUAACUCGGAACGGUCAGAUGAUACUGCUUUGCUAGAGUGCGGAAGGGGCAAUCGGAAUUCUCGGUGUAGCGGUGAAAUGCGUAGAUAUCGAGAGGAACACCUGAGGUGAAGACGGGUUGCUGGGCCGACACUGACGCUGAGUGCGCGAAAGCCAGGGGAGCAAACGGG